AUUGAACGCUGGCGGCAGGCCUAACACAUGCAAGUCGAGCGGAUGAAGGGAGCUUGCUCCUGGAUUCAGCGGCGGACGGGUGAGUAAUGCCUAGGAAUCUGCCUGGUAGUGGGGGAUAACGUCCGGAAACGGGCGCUAAUACCGCAUACGUCCUGAGGGAGAAAGUGGGGGAUCUUCGGACCUCACGCUAUCAGAUGAGCCUAGGUCGGAUUAGCUAGUUGGUGGGGUAAAGGCCUACCAAGGCGACGAUCCGUAACUGGUCUGAGAGGAUGAUCAGUCACACUGGAACUGAGACACGGUCCAGACUCCUACGGGAGGCAGCAGUGGGGAAUAUUGGACAAUGGGCGAAAGCCUGACCCAGCCAUGCCGCGUGUGUGAAGAAGGUCUUCGGAUUGUAAAGCUCUUUAAGUUGGGAGGAAGGGCAGUAAGUUAAUACCUUGCUGUUUUGACGUUACCAACAGAAUAAGCACCGGCUAACUUCGUG
rnacentral:rRNA from 1 species